rnacentral:rRNA from 1 species
CAGUAGCCGCGGGAAUACGAGGGGGGCAAGCGUCGUUCGGAAUCAUUGGGCGUAAAGGGUGCGUAGGCGGUUUGAUAAGUCUUGUGUGAAAUCUAUGGGCUCAACCCAUAGUCUGCAUAGGAAACUGUCGGGCUUGAGAGUGGGAGAGGUGAGUGGAAUUUCCGGUGUAGCGGUGAAAUGCGUAGAUAUCGGAAGGAACACCUGUGGCGAAAGCGGCUCACUGGACCAUUUCUGACGCUGAUGCACGAAAGCUAGGGGAGCAAACAGGAUUAGAUACCCCUGUAGUCCCUGUCUCUUAUAC